GUCCUCAUGGGUGUAUGAGGUCUGGCCUGCCCACUGAUGAUUUAAAGGGCCGCGGUAUACUGACCGUGCAAAGGUAGCAUAGUCAAUAGUCUCUUAAUUGGAGGCUUGAAUGAACGGUCGGACAUGGGGGAGACUGUCUUUGGUUAGUUCAGGUGAAUUUAACUUUUGUGUGAAAAGGCAUUAAUAUUUUAAGGGGACGAUAAGACCCUAUAAAACUUGACGGUUAAGCUGGGUUCAUUCGAUUGUAGUGUAUAAAGGAGGAUUGAGUUGGUCCGUUGUGCUGGGGCGGCAAGAAUAAAAUUUGUAACUGUUCUUCAUUAUAAAAUAAUUAUAUUUAGAGUUUGACCCUAAAUUUCGGGUUAUAAGAUUAAGUUACUUUAGGGAUAACAGCGUUAUUUUCCUUGAGAGUCCGUAUCGACAGGGAUGGUUGCGACCUCGAUGUUGAAUUAAAGCUUUCUCCAGGAGUAGAAGUUUGGGUGGUAGGUCUGUUCGACCUUUAAAGCUUUACAUGAUUUGAGUUCAAACCGGUG
rnacentral:rRNA from 1 species